GUGUGUGUGUGUUUGUGUAUGAGGAAGUGUGUAGUGUGCACGUGUGUACCGACCGGGUCAUGUGUAUAGAUGUACUUUUAGAUACACGCCGCUGUAUUACUUACUCUAUGAACGUUCAGUUGUGAAUGUUUUAUAUCGUUUCGCCUAGCUCUACCCUGAAUCGACGAAAAAGCUAUUGCAGACAAAACCUUAAACCUAGCUGACAGUAUUUAAAUAAACGGAGAAGCUAGUCCAGAGAAGACCUUGCACCUAGCUGAUAGUAUUUAAACAAAGAUUUAACUGAAAAAAAUGCCUUCUGCACUUCAAAACCUAAUUUGUUGUCGCCGAAAUGAUAGAGAAAUGGUUUCAUAUAAUGACAAGAACAUCCCGGAGAAGGACUUUUAUCCCGCGGAGGUGACAAAGAAGGAAAAGGUAAAAAAAUGCAAAGAGAAAAGUAAAAAAGAAUAUAAAAAGAAAAAGAAAAA